rnacentral:rRNA from 1 species
AUACGUAGGGGGCGAGCGUUGUCCGGAAUUACUGGGCGUAAAGCGCGCGCAGGCGGCUUGUUAAGUCAGGUGUCAAAAUGCGGGGCUCAACCCCGUAUCGCACUUGAAACUGGCAGGCUUGAGUGCAGGAGAGGGAAGUGGAAUUCCUAGUGUAGCGGUGAAAUGCGUAGAUAUUAGGAGGAACACCAGUGGCGAAGGCGACUUCCUGGACUGUAACUGACGCUGAGGCGCGAAAGCUAGGGGAGCAAACAGGAUUAGAUACCCUGGUAGUCCUAGCCGUAAACGAUGGGUACUAGGUGUUGGGGGUGACAAUCCUCCAGUGCCGCAGUUAACGCAUUAAGUACCCCGCCUGGGGAGUACGGCCGCAAGGUUAAA